GUACAUUGGUGCUUGCCCAGAUGACGAGUGGCGCACGGGUGCGUAACGCGUAUGCAAUCUACCUUUUACUGAAGAAUAGCCCAGAGAAAUUUGGAAUAAUCCUUCAUAAUAUCAUUUAUCAGCAUUGAUUUAUGAUUAAAGCUCCGGCGGUAAAAGAUGAGCAUGCGUCCUAUUAGUUUGUUGGUGAGGUAACGGCUCACCAAGACUACGAUAGGUAGGGGCCCUGAGAGGGGGAUCCCCCACACUGGUACUGAGACACGGACCAGACUCCUACGGGAGGCAGCAGUGAGGAAUAUUGGACAAUGGAGGCAACUCUGAUCCAGCUAUGCCGCGUGCAGGAUGACUGCCCUAUGGGUUGUAAACUGCUUUUAUAUAGGAAGAAACACUCCCACGUGUGGGGGCUUGACGGUACUAUAUGAAUAAGGAUCGGCUAACUCCGUGCCAGCAGCCGCGGUAAUACGGAGGAUCCAAGCGUUAUCCGGAAUCAUUGGGUUUAAAGGGUCCGCAGGCGGCCUGUUAAGUCAGAGGUGAAAGCCAACAGCUCAACUGUUGAACUGCCUUUGAUACUGAUAGGCUUGAGUUAUUGUGAAGUGGUUAGAAUGUGUGGUGUAGCGGUGAAAUGCUUAUAUAUCACACAGAAUACCCAUUGCGAAGGCAGAUCACUAACAAUAUACUGACGCUCAUGGACGAAAGCGUGGGGAGCGAACGGGAUUAAAUACCCCGGUAGUCCACGCCGUAAACGAUGGAUACUAACUG
rnacentral:rRNA from 1 species